rnacentral:rRNA from 1 species
GAGUUUGAUCCUGGCUCAGAACGAACGCUGGCGGCGUGCUUAACACAUGCAAGUCGAACGUGAUCCAGAGCUUGCUCCGGUGAAAGUGGCGCACGGGUGAGUAACGCGUGGAUAAUCUGCCCUGGUAUYUGGGAUAACAUCUCGAAAGGGGUGCUAAUACCGGAUAAGCCUACGGUCUCUUCGGAGUCUGCAGGAAAAGGUGGCCUCUAUUUAUAAGCUACCGUAUCAGGAUGAGUCCGCGUACCAUUAGCUAGUUGGUGGGGUAAUGGCCCACCAAGGCUACGAUGGUUAGCUGGUYUGAGAGGAUGAUCAGCCACACUGGAACUGAGACACGGUCCAGACUCCUACGGGAGGCAGCAGUGGGGAAUUUUGCGCAAUGGGGGAAACCCUGACGCAGCAACGCCGCGUGAGUGAUGAAGGCUUUCGGGUCGUAAAGCUCUGUCAGAGGGGAAGAAAUGGGUCGUGCUAAUAUCACGGCUUCUUGACGGUACCCUCAAAGGAAGCACCGGCUAACUCCGUGCCAGCAGCCGCGGUAAUAC